rnacentral:rRNA from 1 species
ACGCUAGCUACAGGCUUAACACAUGCAAGUCGCGGGGCAGCAUAGUGAUUGCUUGCAAUUACUGAUGGCGACCGGCGCACGGGUGAGUAACGCGUAUCCAACCUACCCUUUACUACGGGAUAACCCGGCGAAAGUCGGACUAAUACCGUAUGUAGUCCAUUGACGGCAUCCGAUUUGGACCAAAGGCUUAGCGGUAAAGGAUGGGGAUGCGUCCGAUUAGCUUGACGGCGGGGUAACGGCCCACCGUGGCAACGAUCGGUAGGGGUUCUGAGAGGAAGGUCCCCCACACUGGAACUGAGACACGGUCCAGACUCCUACGGGAGGCAGCAGUGAGGAAUAUUGGUCAAUGGGCGUAAGCCUGAACCAGCCAAGUAGCGUGCAGGAUGACGGCCCUAUGGGUUGUUAACUGCUUUUAUGCGGGGAUAAAAGAGCCCACGUGUGGGUUUUUGCAGGUACCGCAUGAAUAAGGACCGGCUAAUUCCGUGCCAGCAGCCGCGGUAAUACGGAAGGUCCAGGCGUUAUCCGGAUUUAUUGGGUUUAAAGGGAGCGUAGGCCGCCUCUUAAGCGUGUUGUGAAAUGCGGGUGCUCAACAUCCGACUUGCAGCGCGAACUGGGGGGCUUGAGUGCGCCGAAAGUAGGCGGAAUUCGUGGUGUAGCGGUGAAAUGCUUAGAUAUCACGAAGAACUCCGAUUGCGAAGGCAGCCUACUGUAGCGCAACUGACGCUGAUGCUCGAAAGCGUGGGUAUCGAACAGGAUUAGAUACCCUGGUAGUCCACGCGGUAAACGAUGGAUGCUCGUUGUUGGCCCUUAUGGUCAGUGACCAAGCGAAAGCGUUAAGCAUCCCACCUGGGGAGUACGCCGGCAACGGUGAAACUCAAAGGAAUUGACCGGGGGCC